ensembl:snoRNA small nucleolar RNA SNORA57
CCUCCUCUUCUUGGGGUUCGGGCGUGUGGUCCCAGUUCCCAUAAUGAACGGAGACAGAGGGAGAGAGCCCCGGCCCCCUGGGCGUCAUGCCUUCCAUGCUGACGAUUUCCAGUCCACCGGUUCUAUCCCCAAGCGCCAGGACAUGG